rnacentral:rRNA from 1 species
UACGUAGGUGGCAAGCGUUGUCCGGAUUUAUUGGGCGUAAAGCGCGCGCAGGCGGUUCUUUAAGUCUGGUGUGAAAUCUGCGGCUUAACCGCAAGCGGUCAUUGGAAACUGGGGAACUUGAGUACAGAAGAGGAAAGUGGAAUUCCAUGUGUAGCGGUGAAAUGCGUAGAGAUGUGGAGGAACACCAGUGGCGAAGGCGACUUUCUGGUCUGUAACUGACGCUGAGGCGCGAAAGCGUGGGGAGCAAACAGG